GUUUGACCUCAAAUCAGGUAGGACUACCCGCUGAACUUAAGCAUAUCAAUAAAGCGGAGG
rnacentral:rRNA from 1 species